UUACGGCCAAAUCACAUUGAAGCAUUAUUUCCCGUAUGAUUACUGAAGUUAAGCAACGUCGGGUCUGGUCAGAACCAAGAUGGGUGACCGUUUGAGAAUACCAGGUGCUGUAAG